CAGCUCUAUAGUAAUUAGGGGUAGACAAUUCUAAUUCAGCUCUAUAGUAAUUAGGGGUAGACAAUUCUAAUUCAGUUCUAUAGUAAUUAGGGGUAGACAAUUCUAAUUCAGUUCUAUAGUAAUUAGGGGUAGACAAUUCAUAUUUCAUUUUAUAAUUACCAGGUGUAGAAAAUUCUGAUUUCACAUAUUAGAAAAGUAGUCAGGUGUUCUAAUAAUAAUAAUAAUAAUAAUAAAUUUAAAAUCUGGUUUUCUUUGAUAUUAAUCAGGUGUAGAAUUCAAAUUUUG
ensembl:lncRNA